GGAGCCACCAACAGGUUUUGAGCUCAGGAGGAUCAUGAUAUGAUGGUGUUUGGAUGGGAUUCCUCUGCCUGCACCGAGAAGCGUAGACUGCGGGGGUGGGGGAUGGGGGGAAGACAGGGAACAGGAAGCCAGGUAGAUUGCACCUGCAUUCACCUGUGAAAUAGAGGACAGUGGUUUGGACAAGAAUGGUCAUAAUAAAGAGGUGAUGGAGGUGUAGGCCCUGAGUGACCAAGUGAGCAGAUGUCCUUGCUGAUUUGUGAUGGACAUUUCAAAGUGAAAGACACAAAAUGUGUGCUGCUCCAAAUCACUGAGCUUGGAAGGAAGUGUGCAGAAAGCUCCAGCCUAUUCUGACAAUUGGGUAUGACGUGCAGACACAGAUGGAUUUGAAACCCACGAACCAGAUGAGGUCACCUUCAGCACAAGUGUUAAUGACAACCAGGAGGGGCUUGAGGGCUGAGCUUGGAUAAGGAGAAGAAAGGAAGUCCAAGGGAAGGAGACUGUUAAGGACUUAAUGUUUGGUCCCCACAAAAUUCGUGUCAUUCGUUGCCUUGAUCACCUACCUGAAGAGUAUAUUUACUGGCUGAUUGAUUUCAAGUCUUCCCUGUUCCCAGAAUCAUAGUUUCAUGAGGACCAGAACGUUAUGCUUUGAGGAGGGAGAAGAAGCUCUAUAAUGAAGACCUAGGAGUGUGGGUGACUUAAGAGAACCAGACCUUUGGACAGCUCACAAGGCCCAGAAGCCUCACGGUCAUGAAUUAAAACACCACCUAUUUAGAAACGUGCCACUCUGUAGAAUUGUUCUGUCUUGUUUCUGCACAGUCACAAGAGGUUAGGAGAAGAAAAUCCAUGAGAUGCCUAAUGACAUGCUUGGGUUGCCCCCUGAACAAAAUUGUGGAAUAUGUUUUGUGAGCCCCCAAGAGUAAUAAUUAGCCAACUUUGCCCCCAAGAUACCUGUCCACACCAAUAUCCCACAUUUUCUAUGAGACACUGGUGUUUUCUUUUUAGGAAACUCAAAGGACCCGUCUGGACAGACUAGGUCACCCACGUUACAGAAAGCUGAACAACCAGAAAAAGAAAAAGAAAACAUUUUUAAAAGCUGUAUAAAGUWUGAGUGUUUGAUCUGCCUCUUCAGGAUGAAGCUACCUUAAAGACCAGAAGAGUCUUUGUUUAUAACAAGUGAAGUUUUGUAAUCGUGGCAACUAAUUUAAGAGGAUCACAAGGCAACAGUAACGUCUCACUUGCCGAGUGACCAAAAAUGCAUUCUCUGGAACAAAUUAAGACUCAUCAAGGUCAUGUUCUGUCCUUUCUAGGAGCUGCCUUGCGUUCACAGAGAAUGUGGCUCUGGUGGCCCAGCUCCUCAAUAUCAUAUUAAACUAUUGUCGUGCAUUUCCUUGCAGAGGACACUGGACCCAGCAUCCCUGAUCAGCCCUUGGAGGUGUGCAAUGUGAACGGAUCUCAGAGGCUUGGCACAGCUUGAAUCCUCCUCCAGCCCUGACAGCAUCAUGGCUGGCUGCAGCUGUGUCAUGUCAUCUGCUCUACAGGACCCAGGACAGCCCAGCAGAAACUAGCUGAAAGGUAGCUGGGCAGGAUGGAGGAGGAAAAACAGAAAGCACACACUGCUCGUGAACUUGUACACGGAUAUAAUACACACGACUUCACGAAGCCCGUUGUCAUGUUUCACAGCAGGCCUGCCUUGGGGGUCGAGCUGACGUCGGCGAGUGGUGAUACAGUCUACCAAGGAAGAGUCAUCCCUGCCUCCUCUGCUGCAUUUCUAGAGCUUCUGAACACUUCUGUUAUAAAGGAGCCUGUUAUAUUGUUGACCUGACCAUCUCCCAAUCAAACCAGGACUCUGGGAGGAUUAGGAUGGCCUUUUAUUGUCUUGUCAUUUACACAAAGCUUGGACGUGGUGAAUGCCCUGCUGAAUUAAAUGGGACUGGAUGGAUUGAGAGGGAUUGGACGAAUGAAAUGAGAUUAGGUGGUUGUGUUGGAUUAGAGUAAAACGGAGUCUCUGAAUCCACUGGUUGGUGCACGGUGUCAGUAAAUGACCUUGGGUAGAACGUGGCAUAAGGUUGAACUAGCCUGGACGGGACCUUGGAUUUGGAUCGCCAGGGUGCCAGGAGUGGGAGCCAGCAGAUACAACUGACUGCAGAAACAGACACAAAAGAUUUCAGGUGUUUGGAUGAUCAGAGAGAGUGUGUAUAGGCCAGACACACAGGAGAGAACUCGUGGAAUCCAUGGGUCAGUGAUGAUACUUACAGGUGAGAAAAUUGAGGCCCAGGUAGAAGAAAUGAGUGGUCCCACGUCAUACAGAGUCAUCAUCCAGUCCGCUAUGACUUGGAUGUGGUUUGACCUGCAGCAGUUCCCAUGGAACCUUGGCCCCCUGUGUCCUGCAGUGAGGAGGGGGUGGACCCUCAACAAGSGAGGCCUAGUGAGGAGUGGUCACUGGGCAGGCUA